UUGUUGUCAGUGUGCCGCCAAGCUUUACCAGCUCUCCCUAUUUCAAUAGCACUGGGUGUUGUCUUUUACUUCUUGACUCGUUUAUUGAUGGAACCUUUUAUUGUUGGGAUGGCAACAAAUCUGAUGAUGUUUUGAUCCUCUGUUAGUUGUAAGAGAGAGGAGGACAUUUUUAUGCUGUUAAAAGAAAUACUGAUGUCCUCAGAUGCAACGUUAUGGUUAGUAUUACUUACCAAAUAUCCUCUCACGUGCUCAUACAAGUUUCUCACGGUCAAAUUCUGUAAUUCGCUAAUGUAACAAUGUGAAGAUAAUCCUAGUGCAACUUGACUGCCCUCUUGGGUUUA
rnacentral:misc_RNA from 1 species